ACACCUUUGCACUCCAGCCUGGGCACCAGAGUGAGACUCUGUCAAAAAAAAGAAAACUGCAAAGCUCCACUUUUUAACCCCGGUGAAAGCCAGAAUCAAACUGACUUUUCAAAGGAGAAACCCUUCAGGCUGAAUUUUCUUCCACUUCUUCCAAGUCCAACUAUAUCUCAUAUUGAAAGAUAAUCUCCAUGGAGGAGCCCCCAUCCGGCCCAAAGGUUUCUCAUACUCAGUUUUUGAGCGACACCUGCUGGCCAUAGCAGGUACUAUGUCCUCCUGCGGCUAAACAGCUAUGCGGAGGAAGCUUACCCAUCUCCUUAGACAUUCGCAGCCACGCUGCAGGUCAGUGUUCUAGUCCCACUUCUACAGAUCAAAAAGGUGAGACUUGGUCCUCUCAGCUCAUGAGAGGCGCAGUGAAUCUCUCACUCCAGGUUCUUGGCUCCAUCUCAUCCCUACUUCUUGCUCUUAGGCUGGAUGGAGUGGUGAGUCCUCCACCUGGGAGAAGGACAAGUCCCCACCCCCCAAAUCAUCCUGAAGUAGGCACUAGGAUUAGGGGCAAGGUCAGGGUUGAAGCCAGGACAGGUCAGGUUGUCCCUGUGUCAACAGCCCCAACAGGCAGCCCACCACAUCCAAUUGUUCCCCAUCUGCAGAACAACCAGAUGGAUGGUCGGGGCUUCGGCGCUCCAAAUUCACUCUGAGGAGGCAGAGAGAUGCCAUUUGGCCAGGCUGUGUGGUAAGGAGCUGGGCACAGGCUGCCCCCUGAGCCUGUUGCCUCCGUGCCCACUGUGUGGGGCCGUGGCUAGCCUGAAAUCCCAUGCAUGGCUUGGGGGCAGUGGCUGCACCUUGCCAAGGAAACAUUCAGUCAGGAGGUGAAACGUAUUGUGAUUGAGAACGAGAAUCUGGCCUCAUCCUUGAGAGAUGCACACAGACUGAUCAAUGGAUGAAAUUACAUAACACAUGAAAUUUGCUUCAGAAAAAUUCAUGGUGAUGGGAGCAGGGGGCACGGAUGAAUCAAAACUGGCUGCAAGUCAACUAUUGUAUCAUCUGGGAAAUAAGGGCAUAGCGAUUAGUUAUACUAUUCUCCCUACUUUUGUAUAUGUUUGAGAUUCUCCAUGUUCAAACUUUCUAAAAAAUGUAACAGCAGAGACACUACCACCACCAAAGUCAAUACAAAGAAUGAUGACUCAAAAUUAGACUGCCUUGAGCAUCUGAUGUGGUAUGAAUUGGAUAAGUUAGUUAAUUCCUCUGUGCCUCAGUUUCAUUGCCUUUAAAAUGGGGAUGGUAAUAAUCAUACCAGUCUUAUAGCGUUGUUUUGAGAUUCUGCAUCUGGAGUAAUUAGCACAGUGCUGGCCCCACAGCAAGCUCUGAAUUAUAAUCAUUGUUAUUAGUAGGAGUCCAGGGCUCUGGUUAUAAUUUGCCAAAAGUAGAAGCUACUUUAGCUGAUGCAGACAAACAAUUCCUCAGCCCAGCUCAGUGUUCAGACCGAGGAGUCUUUGAGGACACAGCCCUGAACUGCCGAGUGCCGGGCGUGUCUCAGAUGGGUAGACACACACCAGAGUCAGGCUUUCCUUAGACCCUGUAGGGAGGCCUUCUCCCUGCCUCUCUGCAUAUCCUUCCCAUUGCUCAUGCCCAACUCACAACCACUUGGUUUUUACUGACCACUCCUUUCUCUGAGUUUAAGCAGCUCUCUUCACAGAUGCAUCGAACCUCUGCCCUAGGUGAGACUGUAAAGGUCAUCAAACCCAGCCACAUCAUCAUAGCUUCAUUCAACAGUCAUCAAAGACCUGCCUUAGGUGGUGAGGAUGGAGUGGUGAGCAAGACUCAAGACCUCUGAGGCAACGGGGGGAGCCCUGGUCAGAAUCCAGAGAACCUGGUCCCCAGCCGCAGUGUGACCCAAGGGAAGUUCCCGCAAUGGAUUCGGGUUUUGCAGGGCUGGAAGCUUAGACCAUUGAGGAGAACCUCUCUAAGGUAAACAAUACACAAUUAUGAUUACAAAAUUAGGUACAGAUAUGAUUAUUAAUUUAGAAUGAUAAAAAGAAAUUGCAACAAGUUGCAAAUCUUGAAAAAACUGACAAAUGCCAUCAUGAAAUCCGGACAGAUAACAUAAUAUUUGUAUUAACUAAAUGCCUGACACAACUCAAAAAUGCUUUCUAAAUUAAAAAAAAUUUUUUUUACAUUACUUCUGCUCACAGCUUUACACAGACUGGCUUCUGGCUCCAUGCAUUUCAAACCUUGUUUCUCCUGUGCUACACACAUCUCUGGUGCAGGCAUCUGAGGCCACAGUUAUGCUGAGGCACAACUUCUGGCUCUGCAGCUUCAUGUUGCAAAGCGUGAAAUGGACGAAGACGUAAAGCUUCUGGAACCUAAAAAUGCUGCCUACAGGGUCAUGAUGAUGACCCUGAAGAUCACAGUGACGUGGGUUGUGCAGGAACACCUUAAACUUCUUUGGUUUUAGGGGUCAGCACUCCUUCAGGGUCUAAUGUUCUGCCAAAAGCUUGCCCUUAGAGACCAGAAACUCUAAUAUGAGACCUUCCAAGCUUAAGGCUUUGAUCCCAGUUAAAUGACAUCUCUCUGGAAGGCAUGGCACGUGAGGCUGUAAUCAGUUUCCAUACCUUCCACCCCACCACUCCCCAGAGAGAAAUGUGACAAUGAGCUUUAGCUCCGUAGAAUCCGGACUUCAUGGAACCUCUCUGGGUUGGCUUCUCAAUCAAUUUCAGAGCUGUGAGCUGAAAAAAAAUAGCAAGAGAGAGGCCACAGUUAUUCAGGAGACUUCUGCUUUGCUGGGGGCUUCCACAGCCCCGACCAACCGUCCUGGGGUCACUGCUGAGACAGCAGCGUGAACAAGGGCACAGAGACCCCAGAGACUGCAUCUGAACGGUCGGAACCCCAGGGCUUUAAACCCUUUGCUCCAAUGAGCUUAGAGCCAUAAUAUGAUAAUCCAAAAUGAUGAGAGAGUAAGUGGCAAGUAUACCUAGACAUAUUCUGAGCCCAGCAGACAGAAUUUUGGUUUAAGGAGCACCUGGGUAGUUUAAUGACACAUGCUAUUUUUUCUAUAUAGGCAUCAUAGUCUAUGAAUUGUAACAAUUCAUCCUAUCUCAAGAAGAUGGAGGUAUUUUAGAUAUAUGUGUAUAUAUUUGAAAUCAAAACUGUUUAUUUUGUAUAAGUUUUUUUGUGUCUAUUAGUUUCUGAAUAUCUGUGUAUAAAAACUUCUGUUUCUUUGCCUGUAUACAUUCUUGGAUAUGCACAUAUACACCUAUGUGGGAUGGGUUGGGGUCAUGUGUGUAUUUGUUUGCAUUUACCUUGCUUUGGUCUUAGGAAGGGAUCUUGGUGAUCAUCCUAGCCCAACUCUUUCACCUCACUGGUGAAGAAACUGAAGUCCAGAAAGGCAAGGUGACUUGUCACAGGUCACACAGCCGGCUAUGGAGACAGAAAUGAACCAAGAACCUAGGAUUUCAAUUUGUAGAUGAGGACCCUUUCUGUAAUAUUAAAAUCAAUUGUAAACCUGGGGGAAGGAAGGAGGGAGAUCUUUUUUUUUUCCUCCCCCAAUCGAUACAUAAGUACUAAGAAGCUCAAUCUUGAAUUAGCUGUAGAAUAUCAAAAGUUAAGUUUUUCACACCAACCUGGUUCAGUAUUGAUUCCUUUUAUGAAAACUCUAUUUAUACUCAAGUUGUCAAAGAAUUCCAGAGGGCAUAUGAAGCUUUUGUUAAAAUAAUUAUAAGCCUUUGUUUUUGAAGAAAAGUAUCCAAAAUAUAUAAGCUUAUUGUUUGAGUUAAACAAUAAAAACAUCUGUUGUUUCUCA